rnacentral:lncRNA from 1 species
UUGUCAGUUUGAUUAGGUCCCAUUGGUUUAUUUUUGCUUUUAUUUCUGUUGCCUUGGGAGAUUGACCUGUGAAAACAUAUGUAAGGUUGAUGUCAGAGAGUGUUUUGCCUAUGUUCUCUUCUACAAGUUUGAUGGUGUCUUGUCUUAUAUUUAAGUCUUUCAGCCAUUUUGAGUUUAUUUUUGUGCAUGGUGUGAGGGUGUGUUCUAGUUUCAUUGAUUUACAUGUAACUGCCCAGGUUUCCCAGCAAUACUUGCUGAAAAGACUUUUUCCCAUUUUAUGGUCUUGCCUCCUUUGUCAAAGAUUAAUUGACCAUAGGUAUCUGGGUUAAUUUCUGGGUUCUCUAUUCUGUUCCAUUGGUCUGUUUGUCUGUUUUGGUACCAUAUGCAACCAAGAACUUGCCUAGAAUGCCAUAUUUGAAAAUGAUGCUCAUUUUAUCAUGUAUGACAAUCUACUUUUAAGGAACUAAGGUUGACUUCAAUUAUGGAGUCAAACCCUACAAAGUUCUCUAGGAAACUGGCCUGAUACCUGGCUUACUGGUCUCUCAUUAAUUAAUAAGUUAAAUACAGUAUUCAAUACUUGUUCAUUUCACAAUUGUAUAGGAGUCAUAAUUCCAUCUUUUAAAAAUUUAUUCUUUAAUAGAUUUCAAUCCUUUACUUGCUUAAAGUAGUAAAUUCUGUGAUUUAUUGACAUUUCCUAAACAGAAAUAAUUAUCCUGCGUUACUUUCAUGAACUUCAGACAGGGAUUUAUAUCUGUCUUACUCCCAACUGUAUCAUUAAUAACCAGAAAAUGCCUGGGUAUUAAUGAUAAGCACUGAAAUUGUUAAUUGUUCAGUCAGUUAAGCACUGAAAUUGUUCUAUUGAAUGAAUAUAUAUGUAACCAACUGUAUACUAGACUGUAUGCCAUAGUAGACAAUACGUUUUCAGGAAACUCAUAUCCCAUUCUCCCUGGGCACAUACAUAGACUAUUAUUUUCCAGGCUCUCAUGAAAUUAAAAUGGGGGCAAUGAGUUCAAGUUCUGGCCAAAAGAAUAUGUAUACAACUGGGAGUUCCCAUUGUGGCUCAGUGGUUAACGAAUCUGACUAGGAACCAUUAGGUUGCAGGUUUGAUCCCUGGCCUAGCUCAGUGAGUUAAGGAUCCAGCAUUACCAUGAGCUGUGGUGUAAGUUGCAGACAUGGCUCUGAUCCAGCAUUGCUGUGGCUCAGGCGUAGGCCAGCAGCUACAGCUCCGAUUGGACUCCUAGUCUGGGAACCUCCAUAUGCCAUGUGUUUAGCCCUAGAAAAGACAAAAAAACAAAAAACAAAAAAAAAGAAUAUGUUUAAGACUGAUGGACACCAUUUCCUAUAACCCCCAAUUCUCCCCAAUAUCACUCCCCCAAUUUCCUCACUUCAGUCACCAAGAAACACAACAUGGAUGGAUCCUGAGGGUAUUAUGCUAAGUGAAAUAAGUCAGAGGGAGAAAGACAAAUACUGUACGAUUUCAUUUGUAUGUGGAAUUUUUUCAACGUGAACAAACCAAACACAUAGAUAUAAAGAACAGAAUAAUGGCUACCACAGGGGAUGAGAAUUAGGAGGAGAGUGAAAAAUAAAAGGAGUCAACUGUAUGUAUGGUAAUGGAUGAAAAGUAAACUUUUAGUCAUGAGCAUAAUGUAGUAUAUACAGAAGUCAAAAUAUAAUGUGCUAUACAUGAAACAUACAUAAUGUCAUAAGCCAAUGUUACCUCAAUAAAAGAGAGAUAAUUUAAAACACUGUCUUCUCUCUGAUCCUGUGAAACACUAGCAUAUGACUAUUAUACUAGUAUACAUUAAAUACUCUUAUUCCCAUUUGAAUCUGAACUUCAUCAAGUAAGAAAAUGUUGUAUUAUAUUUCUAUAGCCCUCAGAAUAUCCCUCACACAUAAUUAGAAGCUCAAUAGAUGCAUGCUGCUGUGAUUCUAGAAUGAAGUUAUCCCACAAUAUGCAGAUUCCUGGAGUCUACAUCAGAUCUACCUGUCAGUAUCUAUAUAUGGUAGAUACUGGGAUUGUAUAAUUUAACUCCCCAUAUAAUUUUGGUGAGCCAUUCAGUUUGAGAACCACAGGCUUAGAACCAACUAGAGUUGAGGUGAGUUUAAGGAGUGGUUCUUAAAUAAUCAGAGGAGAAAUAUAGCCAUGAUUUUAUAAUAAUUAUAAAUGGAGUAUAACCUUUUAAAAUUAUGAAUCACUGUAUUGUACACUUGUAGCAUAUAAUAUUGCAUAUCAAUUAUACUGAAAUUUUUUUAAUGAAAAAAAUAGGAGAGGUAAAAAGUCUCUCUAGAAAAAUACACAUGUGCACAUAUACCCAAUUUCUUUGCAUAUUAUUUUAGGAAGUUCCCAAAACCCCUGAAGCUUGUCCAUGGACUCAGCUUAAAUACCUCUGCAAAGAUGGCAGAGUAAGAAAGCACUGAGCUCAUCUCUCAUGGGCACAAAAAAAUUACAAAUAUUUACAGAGUAAUUAUCAAUAAGAAUGACCCAAAGACUAGCAUAAGAUUUUCCACAACUAAAGAUAUUAUGAAGGAACCAAAACAAGACAUGUAUGAGAGGCAGAGACAGGUAUAGUCAAGACCUACACUCCCAGGCAUUUGACCCAAAAAUGGGAAGAUAAUCACAAUUGCAGAGGUUCUUCUCAAGGAGUUAGGGGUCUAAAGCCCACAUUGGAUAACCCAACAUGAGGAUCCUGUACUGGGAAGGUGAGCCUCCAGAACAUCAGACUUCAAAGUCUUCAAUGGGGCUUGUGUAAGGGAGAGCUUGGGGGGACCAUAGAAAACACAGAUUCCACUCUUAAAGGGCACGUGCAAAAAUCUCACACACACCAAGACCCAGCACAGAACUAGUAAUUCAAGGAACCUGGAUCAGACCCACUUACUGAUCUUGGAGAAGGCUCUUUGAAAGCAGGAGGCCACUAGGACUCCCCAUAGGGACAUAGACUCUAGAGGAAGCCAUAUUGAGAAGCUUGUUCUCAAUGAGGACACUGAUGCUAGCAAGCACCAUUUUGGAAUCCUCCCUCUAAACUAUUAUCACCUGGACUGGACCCCACCCACAAUUGGUGGGCAUAGUACCAGGAUCCCCCAGGCCAAAUGGCCAGUCAUGCAAGGCCCAAGUUCUGCCCACCAGUGGGCAAGGACCAGCCCCGGGCCCCACAGCCAUCUGUUCUAGGAUUAGGUACCACCCAGCAGCAGAUCAGGACCUGCCCCAGGACCAGUGAGACACAGAGCCAGCUGAUGCAGAACAUGGUCCCACCCAAUGAGAGGCCAAUACCAGCCCUGCCAAGACUCCACAGCCAGCUGUCCCA